rnacentral:rRNA from 1 species
CAGUCGUACCGGCGGAUAAUCAGCCUUUCGGGUGCGAUUCUGUGGGGCGUGAGGAGCUUAACCGCCUUCAUGUUUUGCAUAUUCGUGCACAUUUGGUGUACUUGUCCGUGUGGUGGGUUAACAUCAAUUUCGGUCGUUAUAAAAUGAUUGGAGGAAUGUAGCUUUGGUCUCGUAUCGAAGUGUUAUAGACUCUGGUAGAUGUGACGAUUGGGGAUUGAGGAUUGCAACGGAUACCCCUUCGGGGGCUACCCGUCUGAUCUCUGAUCGUUGCUCUGGUGCCGAAGCUUGCUUACGGUUGUCAAAGUCGAUGGUACAAUAGGUUAGAAGUGGGUUAAAUUCGGUUAAGGA